rnacentral:rRNA from 1 species
UACGUAGGGUGCGAGCGUUAAUCGGAAUUACUGGGCGUAAAGCGUGCGCAGGCGGUUCGUCGUGUCCGAUGUGAAAGCCCCGGGCUCAACCUGGGAAUGGCAUUGGAAACUGGCGGACUCGAGUGUGGCAGAGGGGGGUGGAAUUCCGCGUGUAGCAGUGAAAUGCGUAGAGAUGCGGAGGAACACCGGAUGGCGAAGCAGCCCCCUGGGCGUAACACCUGACGCUCAGGCGACGAAAGACGUGG